rnacentral:rRNA from 1 species
UCUAGAGGAAAAAGGGGUAAUACUUUUUAAGGAAACCUAUAUUUAUUGGCGGCCUUUUUCCUUAUUAGAGGAACUCGUCUCAUAAUCGUCACUCCUCGUUAAUUUUUACUUUUUUCUAUCUCUUAUACCGCCGUCUAAAGAUUAAAUUAUUUUUUCUUAAAAAAAGAAUUUUAUUAAGUCAGGUAAAGGUGAGGAAGAAAUAAAAAAGAGAAGAUAAGUUACUUAUGAAAAUUAUUUUUGGAUAUAUCAUUCAACUAUUUAUUAAAAAAGGAUUUAACAGUAAUUUUUCAAUAAUAUUUUAUAAUGAAUUAGAAUAUUAGGUGU